UGAAAAUCAUAAAAUUGUACAUUACAAAGUGACGAUGCACAUAAUUUUUCAACAAUACACAUUUACCAGCAAUAAGUGGAGCAUUCUUGUUUCCUACAUUAAUAGAAACAGAUACAUGCAUAAAUCUUGUAGGUCACUACCAAAGGUUACAGGAAUUGAUGCAAUGACAACUUCACUCACUCAGUUCUUCAUAUAGUGCUUCUGUGUAAUCAUCCAGAUUAUCUAAGUCUUGACCGUAAAUAAACGCUUCGUACGCUUUCUCAAGGUAAUCAAAUUACAACUGCGGUAACAAGACAAAGGUGUACAUAGUGAGACAUUAACAGUGGCAGAAACAUCUGCUGAAUACAGAGAUGGAUCUGGAAUGAUUUAGUAGUGGUUGCUUUGGUUUAGAUUAGAUUUUCUGAAGAUACUUUGCAGGUUUUGCCCUAUCAUGUCAGACAUUUACAUUUCGCUUAAUUGUUUGGUAUAUUAAUACAAUUCAUUGGAAAAUCAAGCAUAAACAUCCCAUAUAUCUAUGACUGUCACAGCCAUAUUAAACUAGGUACAUUUGAAACACAUGUUAUCACAUGUUAUGGCAUUCAGACUGCAAAGACAUUUUGAUAGAGAUAAUAACUUACCUUGUCCUCAUCAUUCAUGGGAAACAGACAUUCGUUGAUGGUGUCAUUAACAUUUUGAGCCAA